rnacentral:lncRNA from 1 species
CAACCUAGAUUAGCGGCAGCAUGUGCUUGAGCAUGUCCUUACCUUUUUUGAGUGCUUUCCAUGAUAGCUUGGGAUGGACAGCACAAAGUAAAUCCCAUCCUACAGUUCAGUCUUUUGCAGAGAAGAAAAACUUAAUCUCAUGAAAAGAGGAAAGAUGACAAAGGGUCUUUGCAGAGGACGCUACCUUAGAAUUUCAGCAAUUAAAAAUAAUCAGCAGCAGGACCCCACCACCCCCAUGCAACAGAGGUUCAAAGAUGCUGCAUUCCUUGUGCUGUGCCACCAGCUCUGGCUGCCAGCGUGCCCUCUGAUGACUUUCUUUAAUCCUCUUUCUUGCAUAGAUGGGGACCAGAACCUAUGGAAACAACAACUGCAAGUGGAAAUCCAUGUGGAGAGAAGUACCUGCAUAUCCGUUCUAUUGAAAUGUUUCCAACAAAACCAAAAGGAUGUUGUGGCCAAAUGCCUGCAGUAUUAUGUCUGCAUAGAGUUCUUGGAUGGAAAAAAAAAAUGGAGAUAG